rnacentral:rRNA from 1 species
AUUGAACGCUGGCGGCAGGCCUAACACAUGCAAGUCGAGCGGAUGACGGGAGCUUGCUCCUGAAUUCAGCGGCGGACGGGUGAGUAAUGCCUAGGAAUCUGCCUGGUAGUGGGGGACAACGUUUCGAAAGGAACGCUAAUACCGCAUACGUCCUACGGGAGAAAGCAGGGGGCCUUCGGGCCUUGCGCUAUCAGAUGAGCCUAGGUCGGAUUAGAUAGUUGGUGAGGUAAUGGCUCACCAAGGCGACGAUCCGUAACUGGUCUGAGAGGAUGAUCAGGCGCACUCGAACUGAGACACGGUCCAGACUCCUACGGGAGGCAGCAGUGGGGAAUAUUUGACAGUGGGCGAAAGCCUGAUCCAGCCAUGCCGCGUGUGUGAAGAAGGUCUUCGGAUUGUAAAGCACUUUAAGUUGGGAGGAAGGGCAGUAAGCGAAUACCUUGCUGUUUUGACGUUACCGACAGAAUAAGCACCGGCUAACUCUGUGCCAGCCGCCGCCGUAAUAC